AGCAGUCGCCGCGGGAAUACAGAGGGUGCGAGCGUUAAUCGGAUUUACUGGGCGUAAAGCGUGCGUAGGCGGCUUCUUAAGUCGGAUGUGAAAUCCCUGAGCUUAACUUAGGAAUUGCAUUCGAUACUGGGAAGCUAGAGUAUGGGAGAGGAUGGUAGAAUUCCAGGUGUAGCGGUGAAAUGCGUAGAGAUCUGGAGGAAUACCGAUGGCGAAGGCAGCCAUCUGGCCUAAUACUGACGCUGAGGUACGAAAGCAUGGGGAGCAAACAGGAUUAGAUACCCGCGUAGUCCCUGUCUCUUAUAU
rnacentral:rRNA from 1 species